GCCGAGGUAGCUCAGCCUGGGAGAGCGCCCGGCUGAAGACCGGGUUGUCGCUGGUUCAAGUCCGGCCCUCGGCA
rnacentral:tRNA from 1 species